rnacentral:rRNA from 1 species
CGGGGUGAGUAACACGUGGAUAACCUACCUAUAAGACUGGGAUAACUUCGGGAAACCGGAGCUAAUACCGGAUAAUAUUUUUGAACCGCAUGGUUCAAAAGUGAAAGACGGUCUUGCUGUCACUUAUAGAUGGAUCCGCGCUGCAUUAGCUAGUUGGUAAGGUAACGGCUUACCAAGGCAACGAUGCAUAGCCGACCUGAGAGGGUGAUCGGCCACACUGGAACUGAGACACGGUCCAGACUCCUACGGGAGGCAGCAGCG